rnacentral:sRNA from 12 species
CCAGUGGUAGUUGAGUUCGGACUUAACAACGUAAAUCCACCGCCCGACACGAUCGAAGAGG